GAGUGCAGGGUGUGCGCACUCCUGGGUAGAGCUGGGAGCCGCCUGCUAGCUGGCGCCUCGUAUUUUCCUUGGCAACCCGCUACCCAGCCCCAACCUGGGCGGCUGCAGCUCUGAAGACACGAGAGAGGGUACUUGGUUUGGGUUUGAAAAGGGAAGAGCGGUCUUGUAUGCAGUAGUCUGGCCGGACCGACACUGAGAGGCCCAGGUGUUUGGAAAGCAGGAAAGAGGAGGCCAGGAUUGUUCUCUGGGGCCGGACUGAGAAAUGCCUGAAGGAGACGACGGAGGAGAUCCGGCAGAUGGGCACUGAGUGCCAUUACUUCAUCUGUGAUGUGGGCAACCGGGAGGAGGUGUACCAGACGGCCAAGGCCGUCCGGGAGAAGGUUUCCCAACCUCUUUCCCCCACUGAAGCCGGAGACGGUGGCCCGGAGGACAGUGGAAGCUGUGCAGCUCAACCAGGCCCUCCUCCUCCUCCCAUGGACAAUGCAUGCCCUCGUUAUCUUGAAAAGCAUACUUCCACAGGCUGCACUCGAGGAGAUCCA
rnacentral:lncRNA from 1 species